CCUACGGGAGGCAGCAGUGAGGAAUAUUGGUCAAUGGGCGCGAGCCUGACCCAGCCAAGUAGCGUGAAGGAUGACUGCCCUACGGGUUGUAAACUUCUUUUAUAAAGGAAUAAAGUGAGGCACGUGUGCCUUUUUGGAUGUACUUUAUGAAUAAGGAUUGGCUAACUCCGUGCCAGCAGCCGCGGUAAUACGGAGGAUCCGAGUGUUAUCCGGAUUUAUUGGGUUUAAAGGGAGCGUAGAUGGGGUGUUAAGUCAGUUGUGAAAGUUUGCGGUUUAACCGUAAAAUUGCAAUUGAUACUGGCAGUCUUGAGUACAGUGGAGGUAGGCGGAAUUCGUGGUGUAGCGGUGAAAUGCUUAGAUAUCACGAAGAACUCCGAUUGCGAAGGCAGCUUACUAAACUGCCACUGACAUUGAUGCUCGAAAGUGUGGGUAUCAAACAGGAUUAGGUACCCGGGUAGUC
rnacentral:rRNA from 1 species